GACGAACGCUGGCGGCGUGCCUAAUACAUGCAAGUAGAACGCUGAGGAGAGGAGCUUGCUCUUCUUGGAUGAGUUGCGAACGGGUGAGUAACGCGUAGGUAACCUGCCUUGUAGCGGGGGAUAACUAUUGGAAACGAUAGCUAAUACCGCAUAACAAUGGAUGACACAUGUCAUUUAUUUGAAAGGGGCAAUUGCUCCACUACAAGAUGGACCUGCGUUGUAUUAGCUAGUAGGUGAGGUAACGGCUCACCUAGGCGACGAUACAUAGCCGACCUGAGAGGGUGGUCGGCCACACUGGGACUUGGACACGGCCCAGACUCCUACGGGAGGCAGCAGUAGGGAAUCUUCGGCAAUGGGGGCAACCCUGACCGGGCAACGCCGCGUGAGUGAAGAAGGUUUUCGGAUCGUAAAGCUCUGUUGUAAGUCAAGAACGAGUGUGAGAGUGGAAAGUUCACACUGUGACGGUAGCUUACCAGAAAGGGACGGCUAACUACGUG
rnacentral:rRNA from 1 species